UUCCGGUUGAUCCUGCCGGACCCGACUGCUAUUUGGGUGAGGAUAAGCCAUGCGAGUUGAAUGGGAAACCUAAAAAUCCCAUGGCAAACUGCUCAGUAACACAUGAUCAACUUGCCCUAUAGAGGAAAAUAACCUCGGGAAACUGAGGAUAAUGUUCCAUAGUUGAAUCGGCUUGGAAAAGUUUUUCAAUAAAAGGGAUAAGGAAAAUGGUCCUUAUCUGCUAUAGGAUAGGAUCGUGCUCGAUUAUGGUUGUUGGUGAGGUAAAGGCUCACCAAGCCGAUAAUCGAUAGGGGCCGUGAGAGCGGGAGCCCCGAGAUGGGUACUGAGACAACGACCCAGGCCUUAUGAGGCGCAGCAGGCGCGGAACCUCCGCAAUACACGAAAGUGUGACGGGGUUACCCAAAGUGUUCUAUUUAGAACUGUGGUAGGUGAGUAAUGUUCCCUACUAGAAAGGAGAGGGCAAGGCUGGUGCCAGCCGCCGCGGUAAAACCAGCUCUUCAAGUGGUCGGGAUAAUUAUUGGGCUUAAAGUGUCCGUAGCCGGUUUAGUAAGUUCCUGGUAAAAUCGGGUAGCUUAACUAUCUAUAUGCUAGGAAUACUGCUAUACUAGAGGGCGGGAGAGGUCUGAGGUACUACAGGGGUAGGGGUGAAAUCUUAUAAUCCUUGUAGGACCACCAGUGGCGAAGGCGUCAGACUGGAACGCGCCUGACGGUGAGGGACGAAAGCCAGGGGAGCGAACCGGAUUAGAUACCCGGGUAGUCCUGGCCGUAAACGAUGCAUACUAGGUGAUGGCACGGCCAUGAGCCGUGUCAGUGCCGUAGGGAAACCGUUAAGUGUGCCGCCUGGGAAGUACGGUCGCAAGGCUAAAACUUAAAGGAAUUGGCGGGGGAGCACCACAAGGGGUGAAGCCUGCGGUUCAAUUGGAGUCAACGCCGGG
rnacentral:rRNA from 1 species